rnacentral:rRNA from 1 species
UACAGAGGUCCCGAGCGUUGUUCGGAUUCACUGGGCGUAAAGGGUGCGUAGGCGGUUCUGAAAGUCUGAUGUGAAAUCUCCGGGCCCAACCCGGAAAUGGCAUUAGAAACUGCAGGGCUAGAGGCUUGGAGGGGGAACUGGAAUGCUCGGUGUAGCAGUGAAAUGCGUAGAGAUCGAGCGGAACACCAGUGGCGAAGGCGAGUUCCUGGACAAGACCUGACGCUGAGGCACGAAAGCCAGGGGAGCAAACAGG